UGAGCUAAACGGCGGAGUCAGGAACUUGC
rnacentral:piRNA from 1 species